rnacentral:snoRNA from 1 species
ACGACCUUACUUGAACAGGAUCUGUUCUAUAGGCUCGUACCUCUGUAUCCUUGAUUUCUAAGGAGACAGGAAACCAUGUCUGGUGGAUGAGUCAUAUCUGCUCGACCAGAGCGUGAUUAACGGACUCACUGGCCACCCUGCCCAGUUGACUCAGUAGAGGAUCGUUCUUGGCUAGCUUUGGCUGGCUGGGGUGGUCGUGCAGCUGUCUGACAGACA